CCGAUGCAGAUAGCUGGGGGUCGCUCUCCCAGGCUCUGCCCCGUGACGUACGGUCCCUUUCCAUGGCGUUGGAGAUGAGGCCAGGCCCCAAGUCUGUGCCUGCACAUUCCUACAGCGUCUCAGACUCCUUCGGACGGUGACUGAGGAGACAAACGCAGGAAGCAGUU
ensembl:snoRNA SNORA73 Small nucleolar RNA SNORA73 family